AUUGAACGCUGGCGGCAUGCCUUACACAUGCAAGUCGAACGGCAGCACGGGAGCAAUCCUGGUGGCGAGUGGCGAACGGGUGAGUAAAGUAUCGGAACGUGCCCAGUCGUGGGGGAUAACGUAGCGAAAGUUACGCUAAUACCGCAUACGAUCUAUGGAUGAAAGCGGGGGAUCGCAAGACCUCGCGCGAUUGGAGCGGCCGAUAUCAGAUCAGGUAGUUGGUGGGGUAAAGGCCCACCAAGCCGACGAUCUGUAGCUGGUCUGAGAGGACGACCAGCCACACUGGGACUGAGACACGGCCCAGACUCCUACGGGAGGCAGCAGUGGGGAAUUUUGGACAAUGAGCGAAAGCCUGAUCCAGUCAUGCCGCGUGCAGGAUGAAGGCCUUCGGGUUGUAAACUGCUUUUGUACGGAACGAAAAGGACUGCCCUAAUACGGUGGUCCCAUGACGGUACCGUAAGAAUAAGCACCGGCUAACUACGUGCCAGCAGCCGCGGUAA
rnacentral:rRNA from 1 species